rnacentral:lncRNA from 10 species
GGUGCUCGAGCUGUGGUGCGUGCCGCUAAGUUGUGCGUUCCAGGGUGCACUCGCCGGCGAGGCUGCACGGCGCCGGUUUCAUUGCUAAAAUCCGACGGACUUGUUGCAGAACUCGUUUUUUUUGUCGGGAAAGGGCUUCCCCGUGUAACUUUACAGCAGUUAUCGUAGAUAAGACUUGCAAAUUACAGAUGUGGACGGUGAGGGAACGGGAAUUUCACUGAAAGCGCCUGAGAACCAGUAAGAGACCUGCAACAGCUUUGUGCUCCACUGGCGAAUGCUUCCUCCCCUAAUACACAUUAUGUGUGCUUGGAGACACAAGGAGUAAGAUACAGCCCCUCAAGGGACUCGUCAUAGGGAGAGGACACAGCUUUGGGAAUAAAGGGGCCACAAAGGAGGAGAGAGGAGUUUGCUGAAACUUCCCAAGCUCCCAUUCCAGCAGUUCCUGAAGGAUUCAUUUCUCUCUGAGGAUCUCAUGAGGUGGCUUAGCAGCUAGAAUCUCUUCCUUAACAGUGGGAAGAACAACUCCUGGAAAUUUAGGUCGACUUUGACUGGAUUUAAAAGAAAGCUGUACAAUUCCACUUCUGUAUAUACAACCAAAGGAAAUGAGAUGUGCAUACCCAUGUUCAAUGAAGCAUUAUUCACAAUAGCCAAAAUGUGGAACCAAUCCUUAAACAAAAGGAAAACAGAAAAUCUGCUCAAGGCACCUGAGAAAAUCACAACCCACACUUGCGAACCCCUAGGAGACCUAAAGCUGUGGUUUUACAAAUAAACAGAUAAGUAACAUUCCUACUCUUUCCUAUAGGUACUCAAUCUUCUUAACAACUCCCAUCCCACACAGGUUUGCAUCCCCAGCAGAUACAUAUGGCUAUGUGGUCACCCAUUCGAUCAGCCUAUAAAAGACUUGUCUUAUUUGAUAUUGUGAAACCCAUGGUUAUCAGUGUAUAUGAAAAUGUUUGGUUCAGGGGUCAAUGUACAAUAUGACAAGCAAAGUCCUCUAAUACACAGUUAUAUAAAAUCACUCACCUGAGAGCCAAGUGGACAAUUGGCCUUAUAUUGGCUGGAGUUGGAGCCCCAGAGGGAAAAUUUGCCUAUUAUUAGGCAACUCUUCAAAACUUUACUUAUUCGUUUCUAAACACUGUCUCAUAAAAUGGGGGAUGCUUUAGAUGAAUUAAGAUUAGCACUAGAUUACUUAUUCGUUGAAAAUUAGCACUAGAUUUCUUAUUGGUUGAACAAGGAGGAGUGUGCACCAUAAUCAAUAUAACCUGCUGCAGUUAUGUAAACACCUCAGGUCACAUAGAAGAAGAUAUACAGAAAAUACAUGAACAAGCUGUGUGGUUGCGUAAAUAUAACCAAGGCACCAAUCCCAACUGUAUCUGGUCAGCCAUUAGAAGCACCCUCCUGAGUCUCACUUGGUUGUUGCCCUUCCUAGGAACUUUGAUAGUUGUCUUAUUAUUAAUCUUUGGCCCUUGCUUGUUUAAAUUCUUGGUAAAGUUUGUGUUUUUUAGAUUACAACAAUUCCACAUAAAGAUGAUACUGACACAAAGCUUCCAAUCCAUCCCGUCUUCUGAACCGGGAAAUAAAGACACCCUGCCUUUAGGUGUCUUUAGAUCUAGAUCAGGCAUCUAGAGAUUUUUACUCCUCCAAUACUUGGCAGGGUCUAUGCCCGUAGACUCAUCAGGAUACCAUGUAAAUGAGGACCUCCCUUGGUACCCCAGAGGCCAACUGUAGACCCUUAUGAGAAAAUCCUGUCCCCAAAAUGAACAUCCACUGUCAGCAGGAAGAAGUUACAGAAGACCAGCCUUUGCCCUUACGAUUAAGGGUCCUCUUGUAAGUAGAGAGGGGAAUGUUAGGAAAGCAGGAGCCUAGGUGAUCCAGAGUGACACCAUUUUAAAAUAAACUCCACCUGAAAACUAGCAAGGCAUCUGCACACAUCUGUUUAGCAAGUAUAUACUUCUGUAACUGGAAUAAAAAGCGUUAUUUUAGAAUAUGCCUAUAGUUUGUAAUAAUUAGCCGAGGGAAAAAAAGUUCACAUUGGUGUAGGAAAAGUGCCCUAAUGGUCAUGGGUAAUAAUGGGACCGUGGUUCUGGUCAGUGAUUUGAUGGAAGGGGUGUAGAUAAUAUAUUGUUGUAAAUAAUAAAAAUAAAAAAUUGUUGUAAGUAAUAAAAAUAAAAUAAUAUUGUUGUAAGUAAUAAAGUAGGAGAAAUAUUUGGUCUUUUGCUUUUGGGUUAGUGCAACAGUAGUACCAUUACUUGGAGGAGAAGUUAGAGAAGGACAAGAAUAGGCUUGAAUAAGAUGAGUGAGAAGAGAGAAAAAUUCCGUAAGUGGAGAUGGCCAGGGAACACCAGGGCAGCAGAAUCUAACUCUGAAUUUAAUGCUGUUGUCUGUUCAUAUUGCACUGCGCUGUAAUCUCCCUAUCUUUCCUAAACCAUUGGCAAAGUCUGCUAUCCACUGGGGCCUUGGGUCGGUGGUGCUUUGGGAAAUACCAGAAGAGGGAAAGUACGGCAAAUGUGCAGUGUCACAGAUGAUAGGAGGAAAGCUGGCCAGUGGGAUGAUUAAAACAAUUUCGGUGGGAGUGGGAAUUCAGACCAUGUAAAUGGUCUGAAUUAAGAAAAUUUCAAGAAACAAAAAAUGUUUCUAAUGAGCCAAAGUGAAAGCUCUUCAUGAUUUCUUUAUAGAGGCUCUCUAGUGCUUGUCCUAAUUUCCUGAAAUCUCAUGGGUAUCUUACUCUCCUGGUGCCCGCCUCAAACAUUCACUGUAGCAAUUAUAUGAGCAGCCUAGAGAAUCCCAAUCCCAGUGGUCUUGCUCCCUGGAUCUACUUUCUCUUAAAAAUCAUUCCCCUAAGUUUCCGUCACUUGGUUGAAGUUUAGUAGAUAUCUCCACAUCUCCAGCUAGAACAGCACCAGAAUUUCAGGACUAGGGCAAUAGAGUCUGAUAUUAAAUUCUAUUUCUAUCUAUCUAUCUAUCAUCUAUCUAUCUAUCUAUCUAUCUAUCUAUCUAUCUAUCUAUCUAUCUACAGAACAAUUUGUGGGAUAGUAGCUUUGGGGUCCCAGAUCUAGGAUGGGCCUGGUCCUCCAUGCUGGUUCUCCUGGGUGAUAUUUCUGUUAGUUUGAACAGUAAUCACACUUUUAUUACUGUUUCAUCUUUUUUUUUUCACUCUUAGACUGAUUUUAUCAUGUGUAUAAAACAUACACACACCUACAUCUCAAGGAUAAACAUUAAUCCUUGAAAAAUAUGUGGUCUAAAACUAUAUUGAGGAGAGAAAGAUAGGACACUUUAAUUGCCACAUGAUUAACACGAGGUCACCACACAGCUUUCACAAAUCUACAAGUCAUUCUAUUUAGGCUGAGUCAAGUUCUCCCUUGGGCCAGCCAGAGCACAAAUAAUGGAGCAAUGUGACUCUUCAAUGACAGAUCUCUGAUUUCCAGAAAAGAGACUUUGAAAUACCCAAUUCUAGUAAAUAUGCAAUUAAAUUUCCAGCUAAAUGACCUUUGCUCCUGUAGUCUUCAUCUUGGGGAAGGGAAAGAAGUCUUAUUCUGUUUAAUAGUUUGAUUUUUAUAAUAGGGUUUGUCUCUGUUAUAAAUCUUGUUUGAUAUUUAAAAUGUUAGCUAAGAGAAAACUUCUGUUUGUUUUUAUUUAGUGGGAAGAAACUAACCCUCAUUGAGUGCCUAGUUAACAUCAGGCACUUUGUACACAUAAUCAAUUGAAUCUUGACCACAACCCUGUGAGAUCCAUGGAUGAUUCUGGGUUUAGUUCUUUGUGAGACUGCCAGAAACUCCCAGAGGCUGGAUCUAUGCAUAAAGAGAGGCCAUUGGAGAGAAUGUCUACUGAAUUGCUGAAGACAAUUGCUACCGAGAAUAGAUCGUAACUUAGGAAGAAACAAUUCAGUACCAAAAGAGUAAUUGGAGCCCUUCUGGAAAACACUAGUAAGGUGAAAAAUGAGAAGAUUAAAUAAGCCAUGGGAAGAUUUUUUAAAAUGACAUGAAACUCCAAGGGUAAAAAGUAGGCUGGGAAAUCUUAGGAUGGUGAACCAUCAUGUUUCCUGAAUGUGAAUCCUGUACCUGGUUUGACUGUAGUCACCCCUUCUCCAACACUCUCCACGAUGCCGGCUGCCUCAUGGCCUAAAAUCACAGGAAGUGGGGUCACCAUGGUACCACUAACCACGUGGUCAUCUGUGCCACAGAUUCCUACAGCCACCAUCUACAGAGUGAAGAGAAGAUGUUUAUAAAAGAUUGAUGUUCAACAUGAUCAAUGCCAAAUAAAUAUCAGAAUACUUGGAAGUAAAGUACUAAUAGUAGGAGUUCCUGAUUAUCAGGUGCCUAUGAUGUGACAGGCACAUUGUGGCCUGUGCUCGACCAGGAGACUGGUGAGUCCUUGUGGAUUUCUUCCCUGCUCAAGUGCAUAAAGCAGGUGUAUUGCAUAGCUUUUCCAGGCUGAGAUCAAAGACGGAGAUGUGCCUACCCGCAGAUCCUAGAUGGCCAUGUUUGCAACAGAGGUAAUGAUGAGCAGUGCGAAGAUGUGACUCCAAAGCCUGGAGAAGGACAGACCAGCAUCCCUGCAAGAGAUCCAACUGUCUUCUUUUCCGCAGAGGUCCAUAAUUUACAUGGGCCUGACAAAGAAUACUGUAACUUGCAGAAAUUAUCUUCAGUUCAAAUCCUUCAUUUUGGGGGUUAAAUAACUUGAUUGUAACAGUUCAUGUAUGUGCAUAAAUAACAACCUUAAAGCAUGUUUUGGGAUGAGGUGCAAAAUGAAAAUUGGGAGAGGGACUUUAGUAGCAGUAAACAGAACUUGAGAAUGGAAUAGAUGCAUACUCUAUAGCACACUGCAAUAAAUAGAAUACAUUUUAAGUUCCUAGAGAAAUUUUUGAAAAUGCCACAUUCAAAGCCAUCAAUCCCUACUCAAUUAGCAUUUCAUUUUGAUUUUGGUACUGAAGCCCAAGAUGUCGAGGGAGCGGAAAUACUUGCUGGUCUUGCAGCGGCUGUGGAGCCUGGAAUCCUGCCAAGAAGAGCAUGUGUGAGAGAUCAAAAUGUUUGCUUACAUUCCUCCUGUGAAGGGAGUUGGGAAAUAACCUAAGAAGCCCAAUCCAAAAACAAAGAUGUACCAUCCAGUCUUCUCUGUGAGAACCAAACUACAAACCAUCUGAAUGUUCCAAAAGUGUUUUGAUGAUGUAUUGAUGUAUUUUAAAUUAUCCUGAAAAUGUUCUUGGCAGAUGCUUAAACAUGUAAUUACUGAGAUGAUGUAGAAAUACCAAGUGUUUAUUAAAACAAUACAGAGUAAUACAAAUGGUAUGUUUGUCGCAAUAUAAAAGUAUCUAAAAAUUAAAGAGUUCUUUAAUGGUGGAGAUUGUUUUCCUUUUUGAAGUUAAAAUAUAAAUUUUUGUAAAAAGCACAAAUUAUUACUAUUUAUAGCUAACAUUUAUGGAGUGCUGACUAUGCUCAUUUUUGAGCAUACAUUGCCUCAUUUAGUGCAAUGUUUAGCAUUAACUUAUGAGGUAAAUGCCAUUGCCAUGCACAUUGUACAGAUGAAGACAUUGAGGUUUAGAGAGAUUGCAU